CAAAUGCUGGUAAGGAUGUGGAGCAGCAGGAACUCUCAUUCAUUGCUGCUGGGAAUGCAAAAUGCCACAGCCACUUUGAAAGACAGUUUGGUAGCUUCUUGCAAAAUUAAACAUACUCUUACUAUAAAAACCUGCAAUUGUACUCAUUGUUA